CACUUCGGGAUAAGCCUGGGAAACUGGGUCUAAUACCGGAUAUGACCUCAGGUUGCAUGACUUGGGGUGGAAAGAUUUAUCGGUGCAGGAUGGGCCCGCGGCCUAUCAGCUUGUUGGUGGGGUAAUGGCCUACCAAGGCGACGACGGGUAGCCGACCUGAGAGGGUGACCGGCCACACUGGGACUGAGACACGGCCCAGACUCCUACGGGAGGCAGCAGUGGGGAAUAUUGCACAAUGGGCGAAAGCCUGAUGCAGCGACGCCGCGUGAGGGAUGACGGCCUUCGGGUUGUAAACCUCUUUCAGCAGGGACGAAGCGCAAGUGACGGUACCUGCAGAAGAAGCACCGGCUAACUACGUGCCAGCAGCCGCGGUAAUACGUAGGGUGCAAGCGUUGUCCGGAAUUACUGGGCGUAAAGAGUUCGUAGGCGGUUUGUCGCGUCGUUUGUGAAAACCAGCAGCUCAACUGCUGGCUUGCAGGCGAUACGGGCAGACUUGAGUACUGCAGGGGAGACUGGAAUUCCUGGUGUAGCGGUGAAAUGCGCAGAUAUCAGGAGGAACACCGGUGGCGAAGGCGGGUCUCUGGGCAGUAACUGACGCUGAGGAACGAAAGCGUGGGUAGCGAACAGGAUUAGAUACCCUGGUAGUCCACGCCGUAAACGGUGGGCGCUAGGUGUGGGUUCCUUCCACG
rnacentral:rRNA from 1 species